CGUAACGAUGCCACUAGCGAUCCGCCGGUGGAUUUUUAGCCCUGGUGGGUAGCUUCCCGGAAACGAAAGUCUUCCGGUUCCGGGGGAAGUAUGGUUGCAAAGCUGAAACUUAAAGGAAUUGACGGAGGGGCACCACCAGGAGUGGAGCCUGCGGCUUAAUUUGACUCAACACGGGGAAACUCACCCGGCCCGGACACCGUAAGGAUUGACAGAUUGAGAGCUCUUUCUUGAUUCGGUGGUUGGUGGUGCAUGGCCGUUCUUAGUUGGUGGAGCGAUUUGUCUGGUUUAUUCCGAUAACGAACGAGACUCUGGCCUACUAAAUAGAGACGGAAUUAUUACUGUUCCGGAUUCUUCUUAGAGGGACAAGUGGUUUUCAGCCACACGAAAUUGAGCAAUAACAGGUCUGUGAUGCCCUUAGAUGUCCGGGGCUGCACGCGCGCUACACUGAAGGAAUCAGCGUGCUAAAACCAUUGUCGAAAGGCAUUGGUAAACCCAUCAAAAUCCUACGUGAUUGGGAUCGGGAAUUGCAAUUAUUUCCCUUGAACGAGGAAUUCCCAGUAAGUGCGGGUCAUAAGCUCGCGUUGAUUACGUCCCUGCCCUUUGUA
rnacentral:rRNA from 1 species